UUACGGCCAUAUCACGUUGAAACACGGGUUCUCGUCCGAUCACCGAAGUUAAGCAAGUUCGAGCCUGGUCAGUACCUAG